ensembl:misc_RNA 7SK 7SK RNA
AGGAAGAGAGGGAUCUGUCUAUGACAGCUGUCAUUUCAUUGAUUUUUGAGGUUAAUUUGGCUGAUGUGACUGGACAGUUGUCACACAUCAUCCUCACUCACUCU